CUGACGAGUGGCGGACGGGUGAGUAACGCGUAGGAAUAUGCCCAGUAGCGGGGGAUAGCCCGGGGAAACUCGGAUUAAUACCGCAUACGCCCUACGGGGGAAAGCGGGGGAUCCUCGGACCUCGCACUAUUGGAGUAGCCUGCGUUGGAUUAGCUUGUUGGUGGGGUAAAGGCCUACCAAGGCGACGAUCCAUAGCUGGUCUGAGAGGACGAUCAGCCACACUGGGACUGAGACACGGCCCAG
rnacentral:rRNA from 1 species